GGACUUGGGCUUGGACUUUCCUGGAGACAAGACAAUUUGAAUGGCACUGACUGCCAGGGAUGCAAUAUUUUCUACUUCUCCGAGACUAUAGGGAGCAUGCAUUCUGAACUCUGCUUGAGCAGAGGUCAUGGGGCCAGAAGGAAAAAGGAACUUAAAGACUCAUUUCUCUGGAGGUUUGGGAAGGUUGGCUCUAUUUCACUUCCACUUCCUGAGACUGUCGCCUGGAUUAACCCACCCCGAAUUUCAGAAAUUUUCCCAGGCUACCACCAGAGGGUGCACGGAGCCUACGCACUGAGCAUGCAGAGCCCGCAAACAAACUCUCUGAGGAGCAGGGUGUCCUCACAGUGCCUCGGAUAGCACUUCCUUCUCCUCAAGACACACCGGAGAGAGGCCGUGGUUUCAGGGUACCUGGGGACACCUGAGGCACGUUCGUAGUGAAGACUAA
rnacentral:lncRNA from 1 species